rnacentral:rRNA from 1 species
AUUGAACGCUGGCGGCAUGCUUUACACAUGCAAGUCGAACGGCAGCGCGGGGGCAACCCUGGCGGCGAGUGGCGUACGGGUGAGUAAUGCAUCGGAACGUAUCCUGUAAUGGGGGAUAACGUAGCGAAAGUUACGCUAAUACCGCAUACGCUCGAGAGAGGAAAGUGGGGGAUCGCAAGACCUCACGUUAUAGGAGCGGCCGAUGUCCGAUUAGCUAGUUGGUGGGGUAAAGGCCUACCAAGGCGACGAUCGGUAGCUGGUCUGAGAGGAUGAUCAGCCACACUGGGACUGAGACACGGCCCAGACUCCUACGGGAGGCAGCAGUGGGGAAUUUUGGACAAUGGGCGAAAGCCUGAUCCAGCCAUGCCGCGUGCGGGAAGAAGGCCUCGGUUGUAA